GAAAUGCGAUAAUUAAUGUGAAUUGCAGAAUUCAGUGAAUCAUCGAGUCUUUGAACGCACAUUGCGCCCCCUGGUAUUCCGGGGGGCAUGCCUGUCCGAGCGUCAUUGCUGCCCUCAAGCACGGCUUGUGUGUUAGGCUUCCGUCCCUGGCAACGGGGACGGGCCCAAAAGGCAGUGGCGGCACCACGUCUGGUCCUCGAGCGUAUGGGGCUUUGUCACCCGCUCCCGUAGGUCCAGCUGGCAGCUAGCCUCGCAACCAAUCUUUUUAACCAGGUUGACCUCGGAUCAGGUAGGGAUACCCGCUGAACUUAAGC
rnacentral:misc_RNA from 1 species